rnacentral:rRNA from 1 species
UGACUAAUGACUCUUCUUAUCUCUCUGUUCACCCAUGUGCUUAGCUGCAAAAAUUCUAAAAAGAUGCGCCUAAUGACGGGUGGUGGAUGUGCGUCCUCUAGGGCCUCGUCGGCCAGAGAAGGAGGGGAGGAGCGGUUGCCGACGAGCGAGGUGGCUCUGUUUGGACCGGCCAUGGUGUUGGCUGUUGACUCCCACCGGUCUUGUCUCCCCCAACCCUUCCAUGGAGCUCGCUUAGCCACCGGCCGGCACAUCUUCUUCUCGCUCACAGCACCAAGGCCAUGUAGCUUACAUUUUAACUGUUAUUGCUGAUUGGAGCCAUUGCUAUUGGCUAUUUAUACAUAAGAUGGAAGGUGAAUUGAGAUUUUUGUGAGGGGAUUGGAUUUUAUCCAGAUGGCUUGCUUCUCGUGAUGAGACUGAUACUAAUGAACUAAUGAAGACAUGAAGGUUGCAUCUUAUCCCCAUUUCCCUUUCUACAUUUACCAUUUAGUCGAUUAACAUACAUUGUACUAUUUCCCUUUCUACAGUUGCCAUUUAGUUGAUUAACAUAGAUUGUACUAUUUUCGAUUAAGCACACUAUGGGUCAAUGAAUGUGGAAUUAGCUACUUUUUAUAUCCCUGGACCAUAUAUAUUACAUGCAUCAGUACUUGAUGGGAAGAGGAUAUGCUUUUGCUUUUUAUUGUUACCCUUAAUUACUACUUUUCUAUGAACCCAAGGUUUAGGUUGCAGGCUCAACUGCAUAUCUAUAUUCUCUGUAUGAAUUUUUUAGCGAGCUUUGAAGUGAAUGUGGUGAUCAAGGCUCUAAUAUGUAUUCUUUAUUUGCAUGAAUGUUGUGUGCAUAUAGGUACUUGCAAUGGAAUCUUUUUCUCAUAGACGAGAAGUACUUUGAAAACAGAUUUUAAAAAUUGAUAUAAUUUUACAAGUGUGCAGAUAGCUGACAAGGCAACAAUGCUAUUGUUCAAAUGUAGUCGAGCCGGGCUUUUGGUGUUUUCGGUGCUAUUGUUCAAAUUUUGCUUUCUUAGAUUCAUUGCAACCAAAAGAUUUGGUAAUAUUUUUUUUCUGGAAACAUGGAUACACUUGUUGGUGUUGUAUACUGGGAUCUGUAAGUAUUGUCAUAGGAAUUUUUUUAUCCUAAGGAUUCACACAGAUUGGAGGGGAAUUAGUAUCUAACAUCUUGUUAAAUGUACACAAACUGGUAUAUCUUCAUGGCUUUUAAGCUAUAUAAUUGUAGAUGAUAAUUUAUGCUUUGAUAAAGUAAUAUCUUACUUCUCGGUGCUUGGAUAAAAUAGUAUAGUUUGCUGAAAAUAUGUUCAUACUUUAUAUCACAGAAGUACAAACUGACAAUCAGCCUAUGGUGAAGUUAAAAGAAGCAAAAGUAUUGUGUGUAUAAUCAUUAGAUUUGUUAAGGUGAAUCAGAUUUAUUUUUGCUGCUGCACGUAGAAUGUAGUUUAUUUUAAUUCCUGUUGCUGCGUUUGGCCCUACAUCUCGAUGGGUGUGGCCGCUCCCUUGUUAGUUUGUUGCUCGAUUUGGUUUGGUCCAAGGUAGGUCGUGUGUUGUCUACGUCUGUAUAUUCGUUGGCUGGAUAAGAAGAUUUUGCAGGUUUUUCUCUAGUUUGGUUGCUUCUGCUCUGAGUGUAGGUUCCUAUGAUUUCUAGACAGUGUAUUGGUUCUAAGGAUUGCUCGGUAGUUUAAAAGUGCUUUGAUUUCCUUCUUGUCUUCACGCACAGACCAUGAAGAUGGCUAGGUUUGCAUGGGCAUGGGGUUUGGUACACCUGGCCUCUAUUUAGAUUUGUUAAUAAAUUCAGUUUAUCACGAACACCAUAAAUGUGUUAUCAGUUUACUAUCUUGGGACAUGAGCUAUUUUUCAGUCAAUGCGUGCCGAGUCCAUUUGGAACUGAAUAUGUAGUGUUUUCUUUGAAACUGAGUAACUGUGGUUGAAAUUUAGUUUCAUUUAGACGAGCUACCCCAAGUAUCAUCAAUUCAUGAUGGCUAAUUUGUUUUGGUUCUUGAUGAAUCGGCCAUGGUCCUGAUUUAAGAGUUUUUAUGUUAUUUCUCCGCCUAUUUGAGCUAUUAUCGUUUCUAUUUAACACACACAAUUGUAGCUGCCCUUUUUGAUUCAGAAAAAUGGUCUUCAUGUCUCUGGUUUGGUUAAACAUUUUCUCAGCAUAUCUCUAUUCAUCAGUCUUAACUCGCAUAACAUCCAAUAUAGUUUGUCUGAUCCAGACUAAAUGUUGGUUGUUGCUAUGUUUUGUGUGCAGUCUAUUUCUCUUCUAUCUUGGUCAUUAAAGAUGUGUGACAAGAAAGAAAUUUCAAAAGGUUUGAUAAUCUAGAAUGCUCAUAUGGAGUUAUUUGAACCAGUUCUUUUAGUAGCUGCUGAGACCAGAUGUAUCAGAAAAAUUUAAAAGAUACCAACAGUAGGGUUGACCAAUAAUGCUGAAUUGAUUCAGUCUUCAGGCCUUAUGCACAAUUUCCACAAUGUUUAGAUAAUAUGCUUUAAUGCUCCUGUGCACUGCUUUAAUGCUUCUGCUUGUUUGUCUGAAUCUUGUUGUUCAUUAAUUUCUUGCCGCCUGCUGUUGCCCAUGAGGGGGAGUCGGAUCCAUCAUGGAUAACCAUCCCUGAUGAGCUUUUAAUACAUACUGAUGGUGACAAAAUUGAUGCCAUUGUUCAGGUUGUAUACAAAGAUGUUCCUACUAGGUAUUCUGACGUUGAUUAUCUAAAAGAAAGAGCAAUUCUAACACCAACGAACCAAGUAGCUGAAAAUUAUAAACGAGUGCGUUCUAUCUUUAGUGCCUACCAGUGAGAGAGUAACUAAGCUGUGUCAAGUGUCGAUGCCUAUGUUUUAUAUGCAAAUACCUUUCCUCUUUUGCACAAACCAUGCUUCCUGUACAAUGAUAUUUAAUAGCAGCAAACUAAACAGGUUGGUUAGGAAACUGAAGCUGCAGCUACUGAAGAGCCAAAGAACAUUCUUGUUGAACAGUCUAAAGCCAAGAGGUAAAGACUCAUAGUCUGUUACAUCCAACCAGUUCAACGUAAGAUAUGGCGUGCCGCCUCUUGUUCUUCCUUUACCUUGUCUUAUUUGACAACCAAAGCAUCGUUCUCUGUGGCUCUCAAAAAUGCUUUCUUCUUCACACGAUGCAUGUUAUGCCAUUUGAUCAAACUACUUUUCUGCCACAGCUAUAUUCAAAUGGAUCAUAGGCCCAAUAAAACAUCAUUUUACUUCAAAAUCUAAUAUACGUUUUAUUUAUUUUCCUGUUGCAUAUACAAGCAACUCUUCUUGUUGCAUCAAAAGUAACUUGCUUCGUACAUGCAAACUAAUUAGCCAUAUAGUUAAAUUAGCUACGUAUUAAGAUUCGGUACAUCUACUGCUUAUUUAUGUUGUGUUCUAUUUGCUGUGUCCAAUCUUUAUGCGCUUGUUAUUUUUAUCACACUGUAAUCAAGCUUCUGUUGUUAUAGCAAUAUGAAAUCCUAUGCAUCAAGCUUCUGUUCUUAUAGCAAUUACAGUUUUGAUACCUCUGUUUCUUUAUAUCAUCUUGUUGGGUUUCUGUUUCUCUUCAUAUAGGAUACAGAUAUGUGAUUCUCAUGUGGUCCUUUCGCUGGAAACUUGCUAAUCUUAGGGGUGCUGCUACUGGUGUAAAAACCGUUUUAUCAAAAGAACUAAAGUAGUAGCUAAUCCAAGCAUUGCAGAAUUGACGCAGAGGUUACGCUAUAUUGGCAUGAAGUCAGAGCAGCGCGUGAAGACUACAUAAGAUAGUUUCUGGUGACCUUCAGUCUAUAUGUCCUAACCAACAGCAGCCACCUUUUAUUUCGUAUCAAUCGAUCCAGUAUCUUUUCCCUUUUGGCGUCUCUGAGCAAGAUAUGUAUAGCCUUUAGAUUUCCGUUCGUGUAUGAUACUACAUGUACACUUUAGACCUCAUUACUGUCUCUGUGGUCAAAAGAAGUUUGUGAUCACUUGUUCUAUAUAUGUAAUCAACUGCCCUUCUACUAAUAUUUUCAGAAGACUAUUUAUGUAUGUUUACACUGGUUAGAGAAAAUCAUCACACUGCCAGCAGC